UGUGGGACUCCUAACAGUGGGAGCAGGGGCUGUCUCUGACUGUUGCCUGCCUUUGGGACCCUUUUACCC
rnacentral:miRNA from 1 species